UAAUACGGGGGGGGCAAGCGUUGUUCGGAUUUACUGGGCGUAAAGGGCUCGUAGGCGGUGGUCUAUGUCGGUUGUGAAAUCCCCGGGCUCAACCUGGGAACUGCAGCCGAAACUGGGUCACUAGAAGCCGGGAGAGGGAUGCGGAAUUCCAGGUGUAGCGGUGAAAUGCGUAGAUAUCUGGAGGAACACCCGCGGCGAAGGCGGCAUCCUGGACCGGUCUUGACGCUGAGGAGCGAAAGCUAGGGUAGCAAACGGGAUUAGAUACCCCGGUAGUCCUAGCCCUAAACGAUGAAUGCUUGGUGUGGCGGGUAUCGAUCCCUGCCGUGCCGUAGCUAACGCGUUAAGCAUUCCGCCUGGGGAGUACGGUCGCAAGGCUG
rnacentral:rRNA from 1 species